AGGGCACCACCAGGAGUGGAGCCUGCGGCUUAAUUUGACUCAACACGGGAAAACUUACCUGGUCCUGACACUAGAAGGAUUGACAGAUUGAUAGCUCUUUCUUGAUUUGGUGGAUGGUGGUGCAUGGCCGUUCUUAGUUGGUGGAGUGAUUUGUCUGGUUAAUUCCGAUAACGAACGAGACUCUAGCCUAUUAAAUAACACACAGAAUCAUGUCUUCUGUGGCGUUCCUUAAUGGGAUCAAGUGUGUUUAACACUUUGAAACAGAGCAAUAACAGGUCUGUGAUGCCCUUAGAUGUUCGGGGCCGCACGCGCGCUACAUUGAGAGACAAAAUGAGCUUUCUAGUCUUUAACGAGGCUAGUAAUCUUUGAAUGUUUUUCUUAAUGGGGAUAGGGGAUUGCAACUGUGCCCCUUGAACGAGGAAUUCCCAGUAAGUGCUAGUCAUUAGCUAGUACUGAUUACGUCCCUGCCCUUUGUACACACCGCCCGUCGCUACUACCGAUUGAAUGGUUUAGUGAGAU
rnacentral:rRNA from 1 species